UACGUAGGGGGCAAGCGUUGUCCGGAUUUAUUGGGCGUAAAGAGCGUGUAGGCGGCCAGGUAGGUCCGCUGUGAAAGUCCGAGGCUCAACCUCGGAAUGUCGGCGGAAACCCUCUGGCUAGAGUCCGGAAGAGGAGAGUGGAAUUCCCGGUGUAGCGGUGAAAUGCGCAGAUAUCGGGAAGAACACCCGUGGCGAAGGCGGCUCUCUGGAACGGUACUGACGCUGAGACGCGAAAGCGUGGGGGGCGAACAGG
rnacentral:rRNA from 1 species